rnacentral:rRNA from 1 species
UACGUAGGGUGCAAGCGUUAAUCGGAAUUACUGGGCGUAAAGCGUGCGCAGGCGGUUAUGCAAGACAGAUGUGAAAUCCCCGGGCUUAACCUGGGAACCGCAUUUGCGACUGCAUAGCUGGAGUACGGCAGAGGGGGAUGGAAUUCCGCGUGUAGCAGUGAAAUGCGUAGAUAUGCGGAGGAACACCGAUGGCGAAGGCAGUCCCCUGGGCCUGUACUGACGCUCAUGCACGAAAGCGUGGGGAGCAAACAGG